rnacentral:misc_RNA from 1 species
GGUUGGAUCAUUACAAAAUAUCCAAUUUGGAGGCUUAGGCCUUCAAUCCACCUCUUGUGAAAUGUACUGUCUUUGGCGGGCCCUCUGGAGUCUCUUUGGAGUCUCUUGGGGCUUAUGGAAGAGGGGUAACUCUCUCUCUCUAACCGUCAAUCUUACACCACCCCAAUAUCUUAUUUAAGCCUGAUUUUUUCGUACGGCAAUGCAACUGCACUGACCCGUAACCUAACGAAAACAACUUUUGACAACGGAUCUCUUGGCUCUCGCAACGAUGAAGAACGCAGCGAAAUGCGAUACGUAAUGUGAAUUGCAGAAUUCCGUGAAUCAUCGAAUCUUUGAACGCACCUUGCGCUCUCUGGUAUUCCGGAGAGCAUGCCUGUUUGAGAAUCGAUACCCCCUCUCCCAGCUCUCCUUUGUCUCCUUUUGGGGGGCACUGAAGAGUCUCUGGGUGGAACUGAGUCGUCUCUGUGACAAGAGUGACUUGAAUGACAUUGAUGGUCUUGGCUGUAAGCAGCAGUUUUGGAAAGGUGGAAACAUCUCUUUGAUUGUUGCCGAAAGCCACUAAAGGCCACGUAACCCAACCAAGGACGUCUGAAAGGACGCUCUGAAACUUGGUCUCAAAUCAGGUAGGAGACCCGCUGAACUUAAGCAUAUCAUUAAGCGGAGGAAAAGAAACUAACAAGGAUUCCCCUAGUAACGGCGAGUGAAGCGGGAACAGCUCAAAUUUGAAAUCUCAUAUGUUCCCUAUGCGAAUUGUAGUUUAGAGAAGCGUUUUCGGGGCAGCUUGGGCAUAAGUUCUUUGGAACGAGACAUCAUAGAGGGUGAGAAUCCGUGUGUGGUCCAAUGCCUGCUCCUAUGUGAUACGUUUUCCAAGAGUCGGUUUGUUUGGAAUGCAGACCAAAAUGGGUGGUAAAUACCAUCUAAAGCUAAAUAUUGGCGAGAGACCGAUAGCGAACAAGUACCGUGAGGGAAAGAUGAAAAGAACUUUGAAAAGAGAGUUAAACAGUACGUGAAAUUGUCAAAAGGGAACCGCUUGAAACCAGUAUUGUCUGCAGAUAAUCAAUUGUCCUCUGGGCAGUGCACUUGUCUGUAGACGGGUCAACAUCAGUUUGGCCGAGGGUAGAAAGCUGGGAGAAUGUAGCCACCUGUGGUGUUAUAGCUCCCAGUCAUGCCCUGGGCUGGACUGAGGACUGCAGCGCUUCUGGGCAACGAAUCGUCGGUCAAAGCUCUUUCUAGACAGCAUGCUGAUUAGGGAAGAGUGGAGAUCGUCCGGUCCGCUCGCCACACUCACGCUUAGGAUGUUGACGAAAUGGUUUUAAACGACCCGUCUUGAAACACGGACCAAGGAGUCUAACAAGUCUGCGAGUAUUUGGGUGCCAAACCCGAAUGCGCAAUGAAAGUAAACUUGGUGGGAUAUUUGCACCAUCGACCGGUCAGGAUAUUUUGAAAGAUCUGAGUAAGAGCAUACUUGUUGGGACCCGAAAGAUGGUGAACUAUGCCUGAAUAGGGUGAAGCCAGAGGAAACUCUGGUGGAGGCUCGUAGCGAUUCUGACGUGCAAAUCGAUCGUCAAAUUUGGGUAUAGGGGCGAAAGACUAAUCGAACCAUCUAGUAGCUGGUUCCCUC